GAAUAUAUUGUGUUCGAGAAUUAGCCAGUAACUCACAGUGCUUAUCUUAUUUUAGUGCAGAAUUUUCGAAGCACUAAAAAAAAAAGCAUGCUGCAGAGAUGGUUUUGAUGGCAACCUUAAUGGGCAAUGUGGUGGCAAUAGAGGUGCAGGUGGAGGUACUAGUGGUAGUAGUAGCAGUGGUGGAAAUGGAGAUACUGGAGGGGAGGCGGUGGUGGAAUUGAGGUGGGGUUGGUCUUGCAAUACAAUUAUUGUUGCAUUUGCUAGUUCUCUGUUUCGCCUGAUCUGGGGUCUUGGUGGCCCUGAAAUAAAGGAAAAACUUCUUUAUGCAAUAGGCAAAGGCAUGGUGCAACUACUUCUGUUCCCAACAUUUGAGCGUAUGGUGAAGUGCUUAGUGCUUGCAUUGGUUCUGUAAUUGUAAUGGCAAUGAUACUGGUGAUUAUAGUUGAGUUGAUGCUGCUGCAGCAGGCAUUGGCUACCGCCAUAUUUUUUACAGCUGCUACAUUAGUAGUGGGACCUUAGGGUACUUCAUACGGGUAAGACUACUGGUGAUUGCUAAAAUAUAUAUUUUGUAUUUGUUGUUUUUGAUCUUCCUGUUCUGCUUGGAAUACAACUGCAGUGGCUAAGACAUUAAUAUUUGAGUGCUUAUAGAG
rnacentral:misc_RNA from 1 species